rnacentral:rRNA from 1 species
AGUGAACGCUGGCGGUAGGCCUAACACAUGCAAGUCGAACGGCAGCACAGUAAGAGCUUGCUCUUACGGGUGGCGAGUGGCGGACGGGUGAGGAAUACAUCGGAAUCUACUUUUUCGUGGGGGAUAACGUAGGGAAACUUACGCUAAUACCGCAUACGACCUACGGGUGAAAGCAGCGGAUCUUCGGACCUUGCGCGAUUGAAUGAGCCGAUGUCGGAUUAGCUAGUUGGCAGGGUAAAGGCCCACCAAGGCGACGAUCCGUAGCUGGUCUGAGAGGAUGAUCAGCCACACUGGAACUGAGACACGGUCCAGACUCCUACGGGAGGCAGCAGUGGGGAAUAUUGGACAAUGGGCGCAAGCCUGAUCCAGCCAUACCGCGUGGGUGAAGAAGGCCUUCGGGUUGUAAAGCCCUUUUGUUGGGAAAGAAAAGCAGCAGGUUAAUACCCCGCUGUUCUGACGGUACCCAAAGAAUAAGCACCGGCUAACUUCGUG